rnacentral:rRNA from 1 species
CCCUUAGAUGUUCUGGGCCGCACGCGCGCUACACUGUUUGAUUCAGCGAGUCUUAACCUUGACCGAAAGGUUUGGGUAAUCUUCUAAAGUCAAACGUGAUGGGGAUCGAUCAUUGCAAUUAUUGAUCGUGAACGAGGAAUUCCUAGUAAAUGCAAGUCAUCAGCUUGCGUUGAUUACGUCCCUGCCCUUUGUACACACCGCCCGUCGCUCCUACCGAUUGAAUGCUCAGGUGAGCCAUUCGGACUUUCAUCAUGCUGGUUUCCAGUUUUGAUGAAGGAAAGUCUUGCGAACCUUAUCAUUUAGAGGAAGGAGAAGUCGUAACA